GCUCUUCUAGUAUAAUCAAUACAAUCGACUUCCAAUCCUUAAAAUCUGGUUAAACUCCAGAGAAGAGCA
rnacentral:tRNA from 1 species